rnacentral:rRNA from 1 species
CCUNUGGUGGCGCACGGGUGCGUAACGCGUGGGAAUCUGCCCCUUGGUUCGGAAUAACAGUUAGAAAUGACUGCUAAUACCGGAUAACGACGUAAGUCCAAAGAUUUAUCGCCGAGGGAUGAGCCCGCGUAGGAUUAGCUAGUUGGUGUGGUAAAGGCGCACCAAGGCGACGAUCCUUAGCUGGUCUGAGAGGAUGAUCAGCCACACUGGGACUGAGACACGGCCCAGACUCCUACGGGAGGCAGCAGUGGGGAAUAUUGGACAAUGGGCGAAAGCCUGAUCCAGCAAUGCCGCGUGAGUGAUGAAGGCCUUAGGGUUGUAAAGCUCUUUUACCUGGGAAGAUAAUGACUGUACCGGGAGAAUAAGCCCCGGCUAACUCCGUGCCAGCAGCCGCGGUAAU